rnacentral:rRNA from 1 species
AGGGAAUCUUCGGCAAUGGGGGCAACCCUGACCGAGCAACGCCGCGUGAGUGAAGAAGGCUUUCGGGUCGUAAAACUCUGUUGUUGGAGAAGAAUGGUCGGCAGAGUAACUGUUGUCGGCGUGACGGUAUCCAACCAGAAAGCCACGGCUAACUACGUGCCAGCAGCCGCGGUAAUACGUAGGUGGCAAGCGUUACCCGGAUUUAUUGGGCGUAAAGCGAGCGCAGGCGGUUUUUUAAGUCUGAUGUGAAAGCCCUCGGCUUAACCGAGGAAGCGCAUCGGAAACUGGGAAACUUGAGUGCAGAAGAGGACAGUGGAACUCCAUGUGUAGCGGUGAAAUGCGUAGAUAUAUGGAAGAACACCAGUGGCGAAGGCGGCUGUCUGGUCUGUAACUGACGCUGAGGCUCGAAAGCAUGGGUAGCGAAC